AAAAGAAAAAGAAAAAUUCCCUCCUAUUAGAAAAAAAAAGAAAAGAGAGCAGGACCUUCCAGUCACUGCUUAAGGCACCCAGAAGAGCAGACUGGGGGAACUUUUAAGUGAAAUCUGCAGCACUUCUCUCCCUCUCUGUGGGGACCUUAGUUGGGCAAGACAGAACAGAUUCCCGAAGAGGGUGUUGGCUGUAUGCGAACUGAUUUGCAGACUCAGAGGCCUGCACUUCCCCAAGCUCAUCACAAAUAAUUCAACAAAAGAAUGCCUGAAUACUCUGCUCUAUUAAGACGCAACAUUUGACUGGAUCCAGCACAUCACCCGUUGUUUGCUGUACUGGACCCUAAGACAGGCUGCCGACAGAUAGGACACGUGCAAUUCUCUGAGAGCCACCGGUCGAUACAGUGGAUGUGAAAUUCAUGCAUGCAAGGACGAAUCCUUCUCACUUGAAGGUCCAGUGUGAUUGUUGGAUGUCGUCGUGCAGCAGUGGAGGACCUGCUGGCCUCUUCUCCUUCUUCUACUGUGAUUCUUGA